CUACGGGUCGCAGCAGACGCGAAUCAUUUACAAUGCACGCAAGUGUGAUAAUGCGAACCAAAGUGCUUUUCUUUUUGAAAAGCUUUUGUUUAGUGUAAAAAUCUAGACGAAUAAGGACUGGGAAAGAUCGGUGCCAGCCGCCGCGGUAAUACCGACAGUUCCAGUCGCAUCCACUUUUAUUGGGUCUAAAACAUCCGUAGCUUGCUCGUUAAGUCUCUUGUGAAAUCCUACGUCUCAAGCGUGGGGCUUGCGGGAGAUACUGGCGAGCUAGAGAUCGGUAGACGUAAGGAGUACGCCGGAGGUAGUGGUUAAAUACGUUAAUCUUCGGUGGACUAACAAUUUAGCGAAGGCACCUUACGAGGACGAAUCUGACAGUGAGGGAUGAAGGCCAGGGGCGCAAAACGGAUUAGAUACCCUGGUAGUC
rnacentral:rRNA from 1 species